rnacentral:rRNA from 1 species
UACGUAGGGUGCGAGCGUUGUCCGGAAUUACUGGGCGUAAAGAGCUCGUAGGUGGUUUGUCGCGUUGUCCGUGAAAACUCACAGCUUAACUGUGGGCGUGCGGGCGAUACGGGCAGACUGGAGUACUGCAGGGGAGACUGGAAUUCCUGGUGUAGCGGUGGAAUGCGCAGAUAUCAGGAGGAACACCGGUGGCGAAGGCGGGUCUCUGGGCCGAAACUGGACGCUGAGGAGCGAAAGCGUGGGGAGCAAACAGG